UACAGAGGGGGCAAGCGUUGUUCGGAAUUACUGGGCGUAAAGGGCGCGUAGGCGGCCUGCUAAGUCGAACGUGAAAUCCCCGGGCUCAACCCGGGAACUGCAUCCGAUACUGGCAGGCUUGAAUCCGGGAGAGGGAUGCGGAAUUCCAGGUGUAGCGGUGAAAUGCGUAGAUAUCAGGAAGAACACCCGUGGCGAAGGCGGCUCUCUGGGACGGUACUGACGCUGAGACGCGAAAGCGUGGGGAGCGAACAGG
rnacentral:rRNA from 1 species